rnacentral:misc_RNA from 1 species
CAAACAACAGCAGCAACACAACAAAUAUUUCAGCUGACCCUCUUCUGUCAUCGUUUGGCCUUAGCUUUCCAACAUCAGACACAGAGGAAACAUCAAAACCACCUAUUUCCAUUCCAGAUGAUGCAUCUGUGAUAAAAGAGACACCUGCUCAGCCAUGGGAUUCAAGUAUUGACUCAUCCCUCACAAGGGAAGAAAGGGAACAGAAACGGAAGCAAGCGAG